AGAGAGAGACACACACAAACACACAGCUGUCAAUAUCAGUGGUUCAGUAAAGCAGCAGCCACCUGAUACACAUGUGAAGGCCACUGUAUUGCGAGCAGUGUUGGAUACAGUAACAUGUGACGUUUGUCCUGUGUUACUUUAAUUAUUUCCUCUUGACCCUGAAGAAUGCAACGUGUGCAACAUGUGACAUUGUCUUGUGACCCAAUGGUCUUUUUUAAACUCAACAUCAACCAACCCAACAAAAAUAAGAUAAUAGUUGAAAUUCAGAGGUGCGUCAGUAAAUGCCCACUCUUUAAGUACUAUUUCUAAUUCUGUUACAUUUGUGGAGAACCUUUGGCUAACACAGUUUCGUUUGUGAGUGGGGAGAAGAAAGCAAACAACAGGGAACCACAGCAGGAUGUCACUGACCUGCAACUUCAAUGAUGUGAUGCCUGGCAAUGUCAUAAAAGCGAUGGUUCAGGGGCAGGACUGUAUCAAACAUGAUCACCAAGCUGGCAGUUCUUUACCUGAUUUGCUGAGGGUUGACUCAUCUGCAGGCCACUGCUGGUCCUCAAUAGUGGCCAGCUUAAGCCUGUCCAGCUGAGCCGUGGCAGAGUCCUCACUCAAGUCGACCAGGAGAUCUGACGACAUCACAGAUGGCUGCAGAAUGGCACUUAACCAGCACACAGGCUAAAACACACCCACACUGAGGCGUCUCAGACAGGAGAGGAC